rnacentral:rRNA from 1 species
UGGGGAAUAUUGCACAAUGGGCGAAAGCCUGAUGCAGCGACGCCGCGUGAGGGAUGACGGCCUUCGGGUUGUAAACCUCUUUCAGUAGGGACGAAGCGCAAGUGACGGCACCUGCAGAAGAAGCACCGGCUAACUACGUGCCAGCAGCCGCGGUAAUACGUAGGGUGCGAGCGUUGUCCGGAAUUACUGGGCGUAAAGAGCUCGUAGGCGGUUUGUCACGUCGUCUGUGAAAUCCUAGGGCUUAACCCUGGACGUGCAGGCGCUACGGGCUGACUUGAGUACGACAGGGGAGACUGGAAUUUCUGGUGUAGCGGUGGAAUGCACAGAUAUCAGGAAGAACACCGAUGGCGAAGGCAGGUCUCUGGGUAGUAACUGACGCUGAGGAGCGAAAGCAUGGGUAGCGAACAGG